GUUGAAUGAAAUGGAAGAUGAUCACGUUAAUACAAUGGAUUCUAUGGAAGAUGCAUAUCAACAGUUGAUCACAUCGGUAUAAAUAUAAAAAAUGAAAAACAUUACUUUGCCCAUUGUCCGACAAAUGUGCAACCACUUUUUGUCUCGGCCGUACAUUAGCAAUUCCCAGCAAAAUAAUUCUUUACAGGCAGGCCUGUUAAAUAUAAAUAUACUAUUAAUGAUAAAUAUUUUUUUCUUAACAGAUCAAUAAUUAUCAUGGCAUGUUGGAAGAAGGAUGCAAACGUCUCCUGUCCACAUUAACUUGAGAUGAGUUAUGGAAAUAAUAGACAGAUUUAGAUCGAGGACGCGGACGUCAAAGACGACGUGAAAAUGGCGUGUUAUGCCCAUAUAUAGAUAUGCCACGCCACUUUGACGCCAUUUUCACGUCGUCUUUGACGUCCGCGUCCUCGAUCUAAAUCUGUCUAAUAUUUAGACACGACGGAAAAUGAGUAUGCUGCACGCUCGUGUAUGACACUGCGGGCUGGCUCAUUUAGUAAAUGUUUCUCAUUUUGGGGGGAUUUCUUUUGACCAAAUGGAAACUGUUUAUCUUUUGAUUUCGUCUUUCUAAGGCUACGUUUACACUGUACCGGAUUUGUUCCAUUUGGUACCAUUUGUUCCGUGUUGUAGUAUAAGGCAUAUGGUACAGAGAAAGCUAUGUUGACUUUUGUCUUCACCAGUAUAAUUGGUAUAUUUAAUAUCCAGAACAGGGUAACAUGUUUAUACUUUAAACUAACAGCCUCUAUUUGUACAAUUUUUAUUUUAAAAGUUAGUUUUCAUAUUAAACACGUUUUUGGGAUCACUGUGCAUGGAAAACGUCAAAGACCGUUCCGUCACUAAAUAUUUCCCGCGCUUUACAAGUUAACUGCUGCAUUAUUUUUCACAUUUCAAGUACCAGUUGUUUUAUAUUUUUCAAACGGUCAAUAAACUGUUUAAGCUGGUACCUG